rnacentral:lncRNA from 12 species
CCGGCUCCGCCGAGCUUCGGGAGCGAGCGGACGGCCCGCCGGGGGUCCGGCCCUGCUCCCAUUCUCCGGAACCUGCAAAAUGGCUACUUCUCGGCAAAUGAAUGGGGCUGGGUGAGGGUGACACGAAUCCAGAAGUUAAGGCCCUAAGUUACUGUUGGUGGCUAGUGGAUGACAAAAGGAUGCUUCUUUUUUUAACUUUAAGACAUUUGGGUGCAAAAUACACACCCCUGAUUUUUUUUCCUAACGGUCCCCAACACCAGGGAUGAGGUCACUGGAAAAUGGGUACGCGUAAAGAAUUUUGUACCAGCUGUUGUCCUGCUCCUGCACUUAACCGGAGGGCACCUCUAUCCCCACUUUAAUCUGUCUGCUCUAACCGGAAAGCACUUAGUAGAGGAAGCGCUGGAGAGCCAGAAUUAUUCUCACCUGGAUCCAAGUUGAAAUAUAGGACAAAGAAGCUGCUUCUAGGCAGCUGACUAGGAGGGUCAAGGAAUAAGUGAUGACAGAAAUGAUGAUGGCACAGCCUCAAGAUUCUAGACGUGGAGAAGAGCUAACUAUGUACUCACCACCCUAUCCUCCGCUGCUGCCUGUAUCCAAAACAAUUCAGUGUCUUUGUUAUAGAAUUCAUAAUAUACCAUCUCCUAUGAGAAUAAAAUUAUUAGCACAUGUUCAGCAUAUAUGGUGGCUCUCGAUACUUGGAGCAAAUGAAUGUAUGUAUCUCUCCAUGAUGUGAGCUUCUGAACUCGGAGAAAUUUCCUGUUUAUAUUACUCACAGAGCCUUGCGCAAGAUCCUGCUCAAAGAAGGUAAGUAUUCAAGAAAUGAUUGUUUAUUGUUAACAUUUUUAGAUUAUAAAAAAGAAUCCCACAUAACAUCCUUGCUCAGAAUAAGCCCAAAUAUAAGGUUAAGAACAACCAUUUUAGUAGUCAAUAUAAACAGAUUUGUGCAAGUACAAUGAUAAAAUCUUCUGGAUUGAAACUCUGAAUUCCAAACAGUGACAUCAUAGAAACCUUGUAAAUGGUACAGGCCAAUGAGAUGCAAGAACUACCUCUAGGGAUGCCUAGGUGGCUCAGUUGGUUAAGCAUUAGGGGACAGCCUGCUUCUCCCUCUCCCUCUGCCCCUUCCUGCCUCACAUUCUCCUUCUCUCAUUCUCCUUCUCUCUCCUCUCUCUCUAAAAUAAAUUAAUAAAUCUUUAAAAAAAAACUAACUGU